UGUUCCUGAUUGUCCUAUCCUUUUCUUCUGCUUGGCUUGGAAAUUGUACCUGACUGGUUGCUUCCUCCUGUUGCUGGUUAUGCCUCUCACUGACCCUGGGUUCAGGGCUUUUUGAUCCACAGCUUUUGAAGUGCUUCCAGACUGUACCUAAAGCUCAGCUCAGAUCUGUGAGAGAGGAGAGCAUUACCUGCUCUAGUGAAGCUGGAGGUGUGGUGCUGAGUGUUAAAGGCUUACACUGGAGAUCUGCACAGGGGCUCUGGCUUCUUCACCUGGCUCUGCUGCUGCACCAGCUGAAUGGUCCUGGCUCAGAUGUAAGAGGAGUUUUGGAUGGCUCCAUGCAACUUCUGGGGAAUGUCUUCUGCAGACCACGGCCCCCAGUAACCUGACAAUCAUUUAAAAAGCAUGUUGGGGAUGGACAUCAAAGCACCGAGUUCUGCUUAAUGCUUAGAUGCCUUGUCUGGGACCUGGAUCAAUGGAAGUCCACACAUCAUUAGUGCACUUGCCAGCCAUGGAGUGGAGAAACAUCUGGACAACAAACCCCUCCCUUUAUUGCCAACCCUCUGCUUGCCCCAGGAUCCAGUCUUCCCUGGGGCUGGAGGGGCUGAAAGCAGGCUGCUCUGCUGGAGGAACUGGGGAGAAGUUGGAUCUGCUGCCAAAAGAUCUCCAGUGCUGGUGGAAAUGGCACCUGGGGAAUCCAACAGUGGGGAAGCAGAGAAGGUCUAGCGCAUCCAUGUUGAAAAACCAAUGCAUUGGUGUCUUGUGAGCUCCUCUUUUUCAUGGCUGGUUCAGCUGCAAAGGUGCUGAUGUCUUGGGAGAAGGGGUGUCCAAAACCAAAUAGCUGUCAGAAGUUUCUUUGGACUGUAGUAUUUUUGGUCUGAAAAGGUUGAUUUGUUAAGUGUGAUUGCGGGAGAGGAGUGUUGGGAGACGGUAUUGGUAGGUCUUUGUUGUCACUUUGUUUUUCACAAAAGAUAUCUGGCACUCCUGAGUUUACCCUGUCCUGACAGGAACAUAUUUGAAACCAAAAGAUUUCUUUUUUUUUUUUUUUUUUCUUUAACCUCUUUUUCUCCCCCACUUCUGGCAGGCUACAGUACCCCUGAACUCUGCCAUUGACUUUGUACAUGUUCUUGUUGGGUGGUUUAUAGAUGGUUAAUUAUCUGAAUUAAGUUACUGCCUGUGACUGUAAUCCAGGAGACUUCUGUUCCAUGGGCACAGCCAGUGUUACACUGAACCUUGCAGCUUUACACUAUUAGUUGAACUCUGUUGUUCUCAUCUUUGUUGCGUGUCUGGAUUUGUCUUCCUAAGCUUGAGAGUGGGAGAGGCUUUCAGAUUUCCUUCAGCCAUCAUGAGGCAGCACUACUCAUGUUCAAGCUGGUGACAUUACCAGUGGCAAUCUGCACUAAAAGAAAAUCUGUAACUAAGCUGUCACUUUGGUUAAAAUAUCUUUCUUAUUAAAAAAACAGGAAAAAAAAGAGAAAAGAAAACGGGAUCCCUCUGUGUCAGGAGAGAAGGGAGAAGCUAAGAGAGUCACACACUAGUAGUACAUAACAUCCAGAAAUUACAUUAAUUGAGUGCUUCCACUAUCCCAUCUUUUUCUGAUUUUGUGAAUAUCACGUGUAGAACAGCAUCGUGUGGUUGUUAAUUACGACAACCAAAGUGCAAUUUUGUAAUAAGGCUAGCAGAUGUUUGCAGUGCUAAAUAUUCAGAUCAAACCCAGUUCUUUUUACCCAGCACUCACCCAGUCAAGAUCACGUAGAGUGUCUAAAUUAUUUUUUAAAUUUGUUGUUCUCUAUAAAUUCCCUCUAGCUCACCUUUUAAGCUCUCUAUUUGUGAUGUGAUCUGUAAGAUCAGGUUGCUGAACAUUACAAUAUUUCAUUUGCUGGUAAUUAGGCUCUCAUUUUCUUUCCAUCAAGCAAAGAGAAGUUUUGCCACUAAUUGUGGUAGGACAGGACCAGCCCCUCCGUUUUGCUUUUGUAAGGAUUUUAAAGGCCUUGUGAACAUAGGAAAAGUUUGUGUUGACCAAAAUGUCUGUGAUGAACUGAAAGACAGUCAUUUGCACUCAUGUGAGAAGAGCUCUGUUAAGAGCCAUCAAUCCCACUUGUGACAGAGUAUUGACACUUGCUGGUCUUUAGGAUUCAUUUCUUAAAAUGCUAAUGCAGACAAGUUCCUGUCUGUUGUGAGAAAAUAUGGGGGGACUUUGUUAAAUGAGACACUCAAGUGCAAAUAAAUGUUUCCUGUAAGAAA